AGCGGCAAAAGCUCAAAUUUGAAAUCUGGCACCUUCGGUGUCCGAGUUGUAAUUUGAAGAAGGUAACUUUGGAGUUGGCUCUUGUCUAUGUUCCUUGGAACAGGACGUCACAGAGGGUGAGAAUCCCGUGCGAUGAGAUGCCCAAUUCUAUGUAAAGUGCUUUCGAAGAGUCGAGUUGUUUGGGAAUGCAGCUCUAAGUGGGUGGUAAAUUCCAUCUAAAGCUAAAUAUUGGCGAGAGACCGAUAGCGAACAAGUACAGUGAUGGAAAGAUGAAAAGAACUUUGAAAAGAGAGUGAAAAAGUACGUGAAAUUGUUGAAAGGGAAGGGCUUGAGAUCAGACUUGGUAUUUUGCGAUCCUUUCCUUCUUGGUUGGGUUCCUCGCAGCUUACUGGGCCAGCAUCGGUUUGGAUGGUAGGAUAAUGACUAAGGAAUGUGGCUCUACUUCGGUGGAGUGUUAUAGCCUUGGUUGAUACUGCCUGUCUAGACCGAGGACUGCGUCUU
rnacentral:rRNA from 1 species